rnacentral:rRNA from 1 species
AUUGAACGCUGGCGGCAGGCCUAACACAUGCAAGUCGAGCGGAUGAAGGGAGCUUGCUCCUGGAUUCAGCGGCGGACGGGUGAGUAAUGCCUAGGAAUCUGCCUGGUAGUGGGGGAUAACGUCCGGAAACGGGCGCUAAUACCGCAUACGUCCUGAGGGAGAAAGUGGGGGAUCUUCGGACCUCACGCUAUCAGAUGAGCCUAGGUCGGAUUAGCUAGUUGGUGGGGUAAAGGCCUACCAAGGCGACGAUCCGUAACUGGUCUGAGAGGAUGAUCAGUCACACUGGAACUGAGACACGGUCCAGACUCCUACGGGAGGCAGCAGUGGGGAAUAUUGGACAAUGGGCGAAAGCCUGAUCCAGCCAUGCCGCGUGUGUGAAGAAGGUCUUCGGAUUGUAAAGCUCUUUAAGUUGGGAGGAAGAGCAGUAAGUUAAUACCUUGCUGUUUUGACGUUACCAACAGAAUAAGCACCGGCUAACUUCGUG